UACGUAGGGGGCAAGCGUUGUCCGGAUUUAUUGGGCGUAAAGAGCGUGUAGGCGGCUUUACAGGUCCGUUGUGAAAACUCGAGGCUCAACCUCGAGACGCCGGUGGAAACCGUAAAGCUAGAGUCCGGAAGAGGAGAGUGGAAUUCCUGGUGUAGCGGUGAAAUGCGCAGAUAUCAGGAGGAACACCCGUGGCGAAAGCGGCUCUCUGGGAUGGUACUGACGCUGAGACGCGAAAGCGUGGGGAGCAAACAGG
rnacentral:rRNA from 1 species